AUUCCACGCCGAAGUUGAUUGCAACCGUAUCGAAUCGCGCGGCCCACGAUCAACUUCACUUCGUUAACUCAUUGACAAAUAGUCCUUGCUUUCCUAUGCAACGUGACUAAUUACGUUAUUUUUGUAUUUUCGUUUUCUUCAGCCUCAAAAGAUAUCAAUUAUUAUAAACGUGACAUUGUAUGUAAGAUUUGACAUAUGUAGAGAAAAUCGGUAUAAAGUAGUUGUUCAAAGUGUGGCGCAUAUACGAAUUUCUAGUCAUAAAGUAGGACUGUUAUUUGAUCGAUAUUAUAUGUUUUCAAUGGUUACGAAAUGUGGAGCAUUCUAGAAUUAUAAUAUUUAUAAUAUUAUUUUAUAAUGUUAUUAUAUUAUAACAUUACUAAAAGUGUUAAUCUAAGAAUAUUAUACAUGGCACAGAUGUAGGAUAUACAGUUAGCAAUGCGCGAUAACAGAAAUAUGUCGUUCGUGAUGCAUAAGAUAUUAGGGAUUUUAUCGGAAAAACGGAAAUGUUAUUUUAUUUUAGUAGUUAAACUAGAAUGUCUUAAUGAAAUACGGAUAACUUUUCGAAGGGUAAACAGUGCGUGUCACGUGUCCAUUUUAGUUAUUAAGCACACGAGUAAAGUUGAAGUUCAAGGAGUAAAUGGAACGCGAUCGAAACCGGUUAACGAGCUAUCGAGACGCGUUCGAGACAUGGGAACAAGCGAUUCCGUCAGAUGCGAUACACCUAUUAUUUUUACUCACGUUUUAAUAUGUUAAUAAUCAGUAAUAAGUAAACUUUAAGUUACGAGUUGACUUACUUAGGAGCGAAUGAAAAUAUUUAAAAAAUGUAAGUAAAAAAAUUAAGGUCUUUCUUUCUAAAAUCUCCUUCGUAAUUUUAAUUUGAAAUUUAGUUGUAAAGUUGAUGAUUUAAUUUAGUUGUACAUUACUGGAUAUGAACAGGCAUCUAUACGAAUAUAAACUACACUCGCAUAAUAAAAGCGUAGUAGGUACAUAUUACGCAAAAUAUCUGCAGUUUAUAAAACAAACUGAUCUUGGUUGGAUUUAUGCGUAAUUAUUCGGCACACACAAGGCUCGUACAUCAAUGAUACGCAUUUCGAACCGUCGCGUGCUCAUUGUCGUCGGCGAUGACAAUAGAGAACAAAGUAAACGGACUCGUUCACCAGGACCGUUAUUCAUUGUUAUGCGCCGUGACGUGGACCACAACUGCGUUUAGCUUCGUUAAGAACAAUUAAAAGUAACCGACGAACCGGGUAUUGCUUAAUUGCCGCCCGCAAAUGUUCCCUUCAAGAUCGUCCCAAAUCAUGCAGAAUAAACUUUAAUAGCAUUUAACAGAUUAUAUAAAAGUGUACAUUACUUUGUUCAAAAUUUUGCUUUUGUAUUUUAACGUUUCAAAUUGUGCGUGUAUACGUGUGUGUGAGAGCUGGGGAAAUAGUUUUUCUGUUUUCGUGAAAGUAACCAGUUCAUGGAAGAUACAAUGCCGUGCAAACUGACCGUUAGCCGGAUUUUCGAAAAAUUUAUAGAAUUCUCACGAGGUAGCCGGGAGCUCUUUCUUUAUUCUUGUAAGUUACUUACUUCUUUACCGUUUCUUUUUUGCAACGAUUCAGGCGUUUCAGUAACGAGGACGUGUUAUGCAAAUUGGUGGACAUUGUGAAUGACACGAGAAAACACGAUCAUUCAAACAUUUCUGUUGACAAGAAUUACAAGAAAAAACGAAAAAAGAAAAACGAUCUUUGUUAAUUUGUUAUGCUCCACUAAAAUGAAAGCAAAUAGAGUUUCAAAUUUUGUUAAACAUGUUUGAAUUUUUUCAUAUACAAUUAACUACAUAUGCGUAAAAUAGCAAACGUA